rnacentral:rRNA from 1 species
AACGAACGCUGGCGGCAGGCCUAACACAUGCAAGUCGAGCGCCCCGCAAGGGGAGCGGCGGACGGGUGAGUAACGCGUGGGAACGUGCCCUUUGCUACGGAAUAGCCCCGGGAAACCGGGAGUAAUACCGUAUAAGCCCUACGGGGGAAAGAUUUAUCGGCAAAGGAUCGGCCCGCGGUGGAUUAGGUAGUUGGUGGGGUAAUGGCCUAACAAGCCGACGUUCCAUAGCUGGUUUGAGAGGAUGAACAGCCACACUGGGACUGAGACACGGCCCAUACUCCUACGGGAGGCAGCAGUGGGGAAUCUUAGACAAUGGGCGCAAGCCUGAUCUAGCCAUGCCGCGUGAGCGAUGAAAGCCUUAGGGUUGUAAAGCUCUUUCGUGGGGGAAGAUAAUGACUGUACCCCAAGAAGAAGCCCCGGCUAACUCCGUGCCAGCCGCCGCCGUAAGAC